rnacentral:tRNA from 1 species
GCUUUCAUAGGAAAAGAGUUUUCCCCUAGUCUUAGGCUCUGGUAUUUCUUGGUGCAAGUCCAAGUGAAAGCU